AGUUUUGGGGAGUAAAAUUUUGAGAAAAAAAUAAAUAGGAGAGUAAAAUUUUGGUGGGAAAUGGAUUUUGGGUAGAUUGGGGGGUUGGGAGGGGAGGAGAGUAAAAGUUUUGGGGGAAAAGUGGGAAGGAGUAAAAGUUUUGAGGGAAAAGUAAAAAGGUUUGGGAGUUUGGGGUAAAAAUGUAAAAUAUUAUAGUUUGAUAUUCGAAUUAUUCGAGUUAUUCGAAUUCGAAAACUCAACUCGAUUCGAACUCGAAAUUCAAAAAAAAAAAUUCGAGUUGAUUCGAAU
rnacentral:lncRNA from 1 species